GACGAACGCUGGCGGCGUGCCUAAUACAUGCAAGUAGAGCGCACAGUUUAUACCGUAGCUUGCUACACCAUAGACUGUGAGUUGCGAACGGGUGAGUAACGCGUAGGUAACCUGCCUGGUAGCGGGGGAUAACUAUUGGAAACGAUAGCUAAUACCGCAUAAUAUUAAUUAUUGCAUGAUAGUUAAUUGAAAGGUGCAAUUGCACCACUACCAGAUGGACCUGCGUUGUAUUAGCUAGUAGGUGAGGUAACGGCUCACCUAGGCGACGAUACAUAGCCGACCUGAGAGGGUGAUCGGCCACACUGGGACUGAGACACGGCCCAGACUCCUACGGGAGGCAGCAGUAGGGAAUCUUCGGCAAUGGACGAAAGUCUGACCGAGCAACGCCGCGUGAGUGAAGAAGGUUUUCGGAUCGUAAAGCUCUGUUGUAAGAGAAGAACGGGUGUGAGAGUGGAAAGUUCACACUGUGACGGUAUCUUACCAGAAAGGGACGGCUAACUACGUG
rnacentral:rRNA from 1 species